rnacentral:tmRNA from 1 species
GGGGACGUGAGGUUCGACAGGGGGGUUUGAUUCCGGAGUUGCAGGCCGAGGUGCCAUCAACCUCGUAAAUCAGGUGGCAAAAAAUAACUGGCGAACGCGAAUACGCACUGGCAGCCUAAUAUAAGGCAGCCACGUCUGCCUCUACCUCUCCUCGAUGGGUGAGGACCGGGCGCCGAGAAGUCGAGGUGCUGUGGCCCCGACGCCGGUAGGGACUGCUUAAGACAGGCCGGCUGGUCCUGCUGCAAUCGGACGGCGGAGAGCAGCGGGGUGAGAGCUAACAGCCGACUAAGCCUGUAGAUACUCUGGAUGGGAUUCUUCUGGACGGGGAGUUCGACUCUCCCCCGUCUCCACCA